rnacentral:rRNA from 1 species
GAUGAACGCUAGCGGGAGGCUUAAUACAUGCAAGUCGAGCGGCAAGUUUUGAUAGCAAUAUUGGAACCUAGAGCGGCGCACGGGUGAGUAACGCGUACAUGACCUGCCCUAUACUGGGGGAUAGUCUUGGGAAACUGAGAAUAAUCCCGCAUGUGAUUAGAAUGCUGCAUGGCAAAUUAAUUAAAGCUGAGGCGGUAUAGGAUGGGUGUGCGUCUGAUUAGCUAGUUGGUAGUGUAACGGACUACCAAGGCGAUGAUCAGUAGGGGGCGUGAGAGCGUGACCCCCCCACACGGGUACUGAGACACGGACCCGACUCCUACGGGAGGCAGCAGUAAGGAAUAUUGGUCAAUGGAGGGAACUCUGAACCAGCCAUCCCGCGUGAAGGAUGAAGGGGGCUCUGCCUUGUAAACUUCUUUUGCAUGGGACGAAAAAACUUAAUUUAUUAAGGACUGACGGUACCAUGAGAAUAAGCACCGGCUAACUCCGUGCCAGCAGCCG